GAACUGACUGAUGGUCGUGCUAAAAUCCAGAUGGCAGCAGAACAACUGAAUGAUAAGGACGUUAUCUCAAGGAUCAACAUGUGCACCAACACAUUUAAGUAUCAUCAAAACCCGAAAGCCUGUUAUUCCUCCUACAUUCUGAAGUCGAAGAGAUCGGAAAAAACUAAUAGUGAGCCAGAACCACCUGUGGAUAUGGAAGAGGGAGAAACAGGUGAUAGUUAUAAGGCUCCAAAAAGGCGGAAGAAGAGUAUGUCUAGCGGCAUGGGCACAGAACGGAACUGUGCCUACAAUACUGCUGAGACCCCAGCCAGCACAAGCCAGCACGCCGACUCAAACACGUCCACCGGUGCAGAGUCCUCCACCAAAGAGACGACGAAAUGCAUUCGCCAAAGGGGAGAGAGCGAAGAGGUAUUGAAACAUUGGUGAAUGAAGCCACAGACAGAACUGAGGAUACCUGUAUGAUCAGCGACAUCCACACUGGGGAGGAAGCUGUGUGUACACCAACAUGUCAGAAAGAAAUUGCUGUGCAGACGGAUCCCCCUCCACGGACACACCACAAGUCCAUGCAGGCGCUACGUGUCAGGUCAGCUAGACUGCAAGUUCCAAUCCAUGUUGGUUGUUCCAAAGGAUCUCCGCCAAAUCCAGGAUCACCGUCACUAUCAUCCGCAUGUUCCAGUCUGUGUCUCCAUCCACGACACCGGCAUCUUCUUCAAUUAACUCCUCUUCUUGAAGGUGCAACGAGUCUAUUGACGACUCACUGUCACUCGAUUCUGUGGAAAUAGCCGAGCCAGAGUCCGAUAUCGCCACGUCUGCCGUGCUGCCGUGCUGUCUGUGUAUUCAACUGGUGGACUGUGUUCUACUUGUGACGUCAGAACACGGCGUCGGAUGUUUCCGGUAGCUGGCAAUGUAAACAUCGGUGGUCGACAUACUAAAUCAUGAUUUAUUAAAUACUGCGAUCAUUGUGUCAUAAAUAACAUAUCAUUUUACAACACAAAUAGCAUUUACUAUCAUCAGUAGAAACACAUGUUUAUCAUUUCGUAGGCCCUUUAAUGCAUCAGUAAUGAUAAUAAUAAUAAUAAUAAUAAUAAUAAUAAUAAUAAUAAUAAUAAUAAUAAUAAUAAUAAUAAUAAUAAUAAUAAUAAUAAUACAAUAAUAAAACUCGGAAAGUGGUUGUUUUAUUUUUGAUACUCCCAACGCUGGUUUGGGCUAUUUGGCAAUUUAUUAUAUUUGUUUAUACAUUUCUGUGGCUACCCCAUUAUGGUGGAAAUGAAUGGGAAGUCUUACGUGAUUCUUAAUUGCAAAUAGGAUAAUAGGGUGAAAUAUAUGUCUGCCUUGUGAAAAUGAUUUAAAUUAUAUUUAACUAGAGGAUAUUUGCGGUUUUACUUUUAUCACUCUGGAUUUUUGUAUUGAUAUUUUUUGUCUUUUUUCCCCUGUCCUUUUGUCACUGGGUCUCAAACUGCUCCUCAUAUCAGUAUGUGAAUCUUUGUACAAUGAGUUGCAUUUCAGGAAGUGAUUUGGUGAUUUAACCAACAAUGGUCUAUGGUCGAGGACACUGAUUCACCUGAUAACCUGUUUUUCUACAUCAGAUACAUAAGACAUGAGCAAGGGGAAGUAUAGACGAUGAUGAGAAUAUGCUGAAAUGAUUUUCCCCGAGAUUACAAAACAGUGUGCAUUUUCUUUUGCAUCAUAUAUACCCUAACAGCUGUAAUCAGCUUCCUCUGUCGAUCGAAUGUAUCAAAGUAAGUUCUGUAUGUUUUAGUAUGGCAUGUCUUCACCCUUGAAACAUAUAUAGACUAUCACAUUGCAGCCUUAGUUGGAUCUCCAAUCACAUUUUUGUUCAUGCAGCUCUACUAGCUGUGACUUUGCAGUUUUCCCAAACUCUGGAACAAUUUACCUGCUGAGAUUAGCUUCAAUCUUUCACUUAUAUCUCCUUUUAAAACGUUCUUGUUUAAACUAUUUUAUCUCUGUGUAAGUGUUAUUUCACUCCUAUAAGUGUGCUAUAUAAAUAAAGUUGAAGAUUUUACCAUGAC
ensembl:lncRNA